UGGGGAAUUUUGGACAAUGGGGGCAACCCUGAUCCAGCCAUCCCGCGUGUGCGAUGAAGGCCUUCGGGUUGUAAAGCACUUUUGGCAGGGAAGAAACAGCCUGGGAUAAUACCCCGGGCGACUGACGGUACCUGCAGAAUAAGCACCGGCUAACUACGUGCCAGCAGCCGCGGUAAUACGUAGGGUGCAAGCGUUAAUCGGAAUUACUGGGCGUAAAGCGUGCGCAGGCGGUUCGGAAAGAAAGGUGUGAAAUCCCAGGGCUUAACCUUGGAACUGCACUUUUAACUACCGAGCUAGAGUACGUCAGAGGGGGGUAGAAUUCCACGUGUAGCAGUGAAAUGCGUAGAGAUGUGGAGGAAUACCGAUGGCGAAGGCAGCCCCUGGGAUGAUACUGACGCUCAUGCACGAAAGCGUGGGGAGCAAACAGGAUUAGAUACCCUGGUAGUCCACGCCCUAAACGAUGUCAACUAGCUGUUGGGGUUUUAUUAACCUUAGUAGCGCAGCUAACGCGUGAAGUUGACCGCCUGGGGAGUACGGUCGCAAGAUUAAAACUC
rnacentral:rRNA from 1 species